rfam:Canis lupus familiaris chromosome 26, whole genome shotgun sequence.
AGGAGGAACAACCCCAGUGGCUGCGGCAGCUCUGGAGACCUGGAUUCAGCCCUUGCAGUAACUCCGGAACUCUCAGUCUGCAGGGCCUGGAAGCUCCAGGGCGGG